UACGGAGGGUGCAAGCGUUAAUCGGAAUUACUGGGCGUAAAGCGCGCGUAGGCGGCCAUGUAAGUCGGGUGUGAAAUCCCCGGGCUCAACCUGGGAAUUGCAUUCGAUACUGCAUGGCUGGAGUAUGGUAGAGGGUAGUGGAAUUCCGGGUGUAGCGGUGAAAUGCGUAGAUAUCCGGAGGAACACCAGUGGCGAAGGCGGCUACCUGGACCAAUACUGACGCUGAGGCGCGAAAGCCAGGGGAGCAAACAGG
rnacentral:rRNA from 1 species